GACGAACGCUGGCGGCGUGCUUAACACAUGCAAGUCGAACGGAAAGGCCCUGCUUUUGUGGGGUGCUCGAGUGGCGAACGGGUGAGUAACACGUGAGUAACCUGCCCUUGACUUUGGGAUAACUUCAGGAAACUGGGGCUAAUACCGGAUAGGAGCUCCUGCUGCAUGGUGGGGGUUGGAAAGUUUCGGCGGUUGGGGAUGGACUCGCGGCUUAUCAGCUUGUUGGUGGGGUAGUGGCUUACCAAGGCUUUGACGGGUAGCCGGCCUGAGAGGGUGACCGGCCACAUUGGGACUGAGAUACGGCCCAGACUCCUACGGGAGGCAGCAGUGGGGAAUAUUGCACAAUGGGCGGAAGCCUGAUGGAGCAACGCCGCGUGCGGGAUGACGGCCUUCGGGUUGUAAACCGUUUUCGCCUGUGACGAAGCGUGAGUGACGGUAAUGGGUAAAGAAGCACCGGCUAACUACGUG
rnacentral:rRNA from 1 species